rnacentral:rRNA from 1 species
UAACGCGUGAGCAAUCUGCCUUUAAGAGGGGGAUAACAGUCGGAAACGGCUGCUAAUACCGCAUAAAGCAUCGAAACCGCAUGAUUUUGAUGCCAAAGGAGCAAUCCGCUUUUAGAUGAGCUCGCGUCUGAUUAGCUGGUUGGCGGGGUAACGGCCCACCAAGGCGACGAUCAGUAGCCGGACUGAGAGGUUGAACGGCCACAUUGGGACUGAGACACGGCCCAG